AAAGGGUACGUAGGCGGUCUAAUAAGUCAGAUGUGAAAACCCUGGGCUCAGCCUGAGGCCUGCGUCUGAUACUGUUAGGCUAGAGUUACGGAGAGGAAGUCGGAAUUCCUGGUGUAGGGGUGAAAUCUAUAGAUAUCAGGAAGAACACCGGUAGCGAAGGCGGACUUCUGGACGUAAACUGACGCUGAUGUACGAAAGUUAGGGUAGCAAACAGGAUUAGAGACCCUGGUAGUCCUAACCGUAAACGUUGUAUACUAGGUGGUGGCGUUUUGAUCGCGUCACUGCCGUAGCUAACGCAUUAAGUAUACCGCCUGGGGAGUAUGCCGGCAACGGUGAAACUCAAAGGAAUUGACGGGGGCCCGCACAAGCAGUGGAGCAUGUUGUUUAAUUCGAUGAUACGCGAGGGACCUUACCAGGUCUUGACAUAUACCCGGAUGUUCCAGAGAUGGAUCAGUCCUUCGGGACGGGUAUACAGGUGCUGCAUGGUUGUCGUCAGCUCGUGCCGUGAGGUGUUGGGUUAAGUCCCGCAACGAGCGCAACCCUUAUUCUUUGUUGCUAACGCGUUAUGGCGAGCACUCUAAGGAGACUGCCGGUGACAAACCGGAGGAAGGUGGGGAUGACGUCAAAUCAUCACGGCCCUUAUGACCUGGGCUACAAACGUGCUACAAUGGGCGGUACAAAGAGUUGCGAGUCUGUGAAGAGGAGCUAAUCUCAAAAAACCGUCCUCAGUUCGGAUUGGAGUCUGAAACCCGACUCCAUGAAGU
rnacentral:rRNA from 1 species